GAUGAACGCUGGCGGCGUGCCUAAUACAUGCAAGUCGAGCGAACAGACGAGGAGCUUGCUCCUUCGACGUUAGCGGCGGACGGGUGAGUAACACGUAGGUAACCUACCUAUAAGACUGGGAUAACUUCGGGAAACCGGAGCUAAUACCGGAUAAUAUUUCGAACCGCAUGGUUCGAUAGUGAAAGAUGGCUUUGCUAUCACUUAUAGAUGGACCUGCGCCGUAUUAGCUAGUUGGUAAGGUAACGGCUUACCAAGGCAACGAUACGUAGCCGACCUGAGAGGGUGAUCGGCCACACUGGAACUGAGACACGGUCCAGCCUCCUACGGGAGGCAGCAGUAGGGAAUCUUCCGCAAUGGGCGAAAGCCUGACGGAGCAACGCCGCGUGAGUGAUGAAGGUCUUCGGAUCGUAAAACUCUGUUAUUAGGGAAGAACAAACGUGUAAGUAACUGUGCACGUCUUGACGGUACCUAAUCAGAAAGCCACGGCUAACUACGUG
rnacentral:rRNA from 1 species